rnacentral:rRNA from 1 species
AUAUAACUAAGCGGAGGAAAAGAAACUAACUAGGAUUCCUUUAGUAACGGCGAGUGAACAAGGAACAGCCCAUCACCGAAUCCUUCUUGGCUUUCAGGUAAGGAAUUGUGGUGUAAAGGACAGUCUUCGCUAUAGUAUCGUCGGUCCAAGUUCUCUUGAAUGGGGCUCCCAUAGCGGGUGUCAGGCCUCUAGCGACCGAUCGAUGCUGUAUCUUUGUCUGUCCCGAGAGUCGGGUUGCUUGAGAUCGCAGCCCUAAGACGGGUGGUAAACUCCAUCCAAGGCUAAAUACCGUCGCGAGACCGAUAGCGCACAAGUA